CCCAUGGACUGCAGCCCACCAGGCUCCUCCAUCCAUGAGAUUUCCCAGGCAAGAGUACUGGAGUGGGGUGCCAUUGUCUUCUCCCAAAAGAACCAGACCUUUCAUAAAACGAAUUCCUGGAGACCAUGCUCUAUGACGAUGUGGGGUGAUACUGUCUGAUAACCUAACUGGUCAUCCUUAUGGUAUUUGCUCCAGGAAAGACUUUGUGAUGGUCCACUCUUGCCCAGGAAGGCGUUCUGGAAGCAGUGCCAACCUCGGGAAGACGUGCUGGCACGGCAUCUUUCCUGUACACGUGGAGAGUGAGUUGAGCAGAGUCUCAUUUUUGUCUCUGGUGGGUCGCACUUGGCUUCCUCUCCCAUAAGACCCAGCCCUUUGGAUAAUUGCUUUGCGGAAGGGAUGUCUGCUUGGACUGUGAUACUUUUUCAACAGGGCUCUUUCUCUGCAUUGUCAGAUUCUCUUGUAAUGACUGUAACCACUUUGCUAAUGAAUUUUCCAUCAGUUGACCAAUCAAUGAGGAAUGUCAUUCCACAAAUCAUGAGAGAGCAUACUAUCUACUAGAUGAUUCUAGACCUUAGUUGGGUCCCCUCAGCUGGGGGUAGAGCAGUGAGCACGAUAAAGUCCUUAUUCAUGUGAACUUGACAAUCUGGUGGGAGAGAUGGACGAUCGAAGCCAAGCGAUAUCAUUCUAUCCACUGUAGAGUUAUGAAGGAAAGAAAGCAGGCUAAGCUGUGAGGAAGAGGCACAGAUAGAAUAGACAUUUAUGUUAAAUAUAGGGUCUGGGAAAGUUUCUCUGGGGAGGGGAAAUGGAAAUGAAGUAGGUUUGGGAGUCAGACUUUCGGGAGAAGCUUGUGGCACAUGAAAGCUCUCUGGCAUCUUUGAGGAACAGCAAGAAGGAAGGUGGGGCUAGACUGGACUGUGGGUGAAAGAGGUAGCCUCUGAGGCUUGGGCACCUCCAGAUUUUGUUCUGAGUGUGAUGGAAACUAUGGGUGGAUUCUGAGUGGGGAGGGAGGUGUGGUCUGUAUUGAAAUGGUUACUCUGACCACAAGGGUGCUGAUAGAGAGCCCACAUGGAUGGCUAUUGUAUUGAUCUGAGUUGCUGAUGGAAGCUAGGAAGAGAAUGGGAGUCUCCACAUGAAGAACAUAGGAGGUCCCACAGGUAGAGCCAGCAGACCCAGGGAUGGGUUGGAUGAGCCUAGCCAGGGUCAGGAGUGACAAAGUGGGGCAGGGGAUGAACCCGAGGGUCUACACAUGUGACCACUGCUGAAUUGGGGCUCCAGAGUGAGUCACUGGGUUCCCAGGAGCUUUGGGAGAAGUUAUCAUUACCAGGAUUGCCAAGAUCCAGGCGGAGGCAGUGACCAUGGGGCUUGAGGGUCAGGUGGGAUGUUGGCAGAGGUAACUGGAGGUGAGGCAGCCUCCAGGCCAAUGCUAGAGAGCUGGGGACAGCAUCACUGGGUGGGCACUGUCAGGAAGGAGGUCGGGAGGUGUUCGGGGGGAGGAUGGUGAACCAGAAGGAGGACCUGGGUGGCUGUGAUCCAGGUAGUGGGCAGUGAGGUCUGAAGAAAAUGCUGUGAGCUGAGAUUUUAAAAGGGAAAGAGGAGAAGAAUGGUCUGGAGGUGAGGCUGAGCCGGGAGGCCAUCUGUCCACUGUGAGCCUCCAGUGUAGGAGGUGGCGGGGUGCAGAUAGCCCUCGGUGGUGGACAGUGAAUCCCUCCAGAGAAGUGAGGACAUGGUGAUGAGUUGCGGUCCCAAAUGUGGAAGGGCUGUGGGGCGUGGGCACUGGGUGGUCAGUCUGGGAAACUGAACCCAGUCCUGCUGGCCUCAGGUUGUUGGGGGGGAUGUGGUGACCUCUGAUGCCAGCUUUCUGGGAAUUGUGUUGCUGGGUGGUUCAUCGGGAUGAGGGAGUUGGGGUCUCCCGGGGUCUUCUGAGGGGACCUCAGGGCCCAGGGCUGGGCAGACUCUCCAGGAGCCCCCCGUGGUGGCUCUUCUGGAACUCCCCUCAUCUGGUAGACCCCACAAGUCCCAUGAAGGAGCUUGGUGGUGCUUCGAUUGCUUGAUAGAGAACCCAGUGUGCUGUGCUGAGAAGUCCAAGGUCCCUAUUCUGAAAGCCCAGGGUCCACACCCACACGGAGGGUCCUGAGCUGGGACAAGCUGGCACUGCGAAGCCCCUCUCUCCUCGUUUCUGAGCCCUGCCCCCGAAGACUCGGGAAUGCCAUCACCGCUCCAGGGAUGGGGCAGGCAGGGCGUCAGCCCCGCUCCGGGGAGGUAAGUGGCCAGCCGCCGGCACCCCAGUGUGUUUUUGGGACGCGCGUUGUCCGCCUCACUAACGCUCCGUGUCCCAUCUGCCCGCAGGACCGCAGUCGGAGGCGGCGCCCCUCGGAGGACUGGAAGGGGCCCCUGCUCUGUCUUGCCUCUGCCUUUCUGUGGUACUUGAAGAGAAGUUGUUCGUGGUGGAUUCGCUUUACUUAUGACGAAUCAUUCACGGACAACACUUUUUUCAGUACCAAAUACUACCUCUAAGGAUGCCCACCUCGGAUGGGACGGCCACUCUGGAAGAGAAGACUCUGUGCUCUUCGUGGAAGAUGCGACUGGCUGGCCGGCCGGCCAGGGCCGUGGGCUUGUCCAAGCUGGUCACCUCAGGAGACGUCGAGGAGCGGCUUCCUGGGCCCCAGGCCAUCUUCCCGAGGAGACCCUGGUGUCAGCGCCGUUCAGGGUGUGUGACUGGUUGACCAGAGGGGCCAGCACUCUGUUCACCCUCUGGGCCACCUAGUCACCAACCCUCAGCACCUGCCUGGGAGAUGCGGAGGAGGUCCUGCCGACUUUGGGGCAGCGGUGGGCGUGCACUGGCGGCCGCUCUGUGGAUCCGGACGACCAUGGCAGGGAGGGCACAUGGACUUAAAAAGUGAAGGGUCCACAGAGGUGAUGCUCACGUGGGGAAGUAGCCACGGUGCAGCCAUCAUAGGAUUCGAGGGGCUACCAUGAUGGGCUGACGUGACGAUGGCAGUGAGAUGGCAGCCCUCCUGGUCCAGGAGGACGAGCGGGAGUCACCCCUGCUUAGGGUAAGUGCGUCUCGGGUGAGCAUGCAAUGAACGUGCUCGCAUGUCACUCGGCCCACUACCCAAGAUUGUUCCACCGCUUCCUUACAGGCAGCCACCUUGGCAGGACAGGCAAUG